rnacentral:rRNA from 1 species
AUUGAACGCUGGCGGCAUGCUUUACACAUGCAAGUCGAACGGUAACAGGUUAAGCUGACGAGUGGCGAACGGGUGAGUAAUGCAUCGGAACGUGCCCGGUCGUGGGGGAUAACACUUCGAAAGAAGUGCUAAUACCGCAUACGAUCUGAGGAUGAAAGAGGGGGACCGUAAGGCCUCGCGCGAUCGGAGCGGCCUAGGUCAGAUUCGGUAGUUGGUGGGGUAAAGGCUCACCAAGCCGACGAUCUGUAGCUGGUCUGAGAGGACGACCAGCCACACUGGGACUGAGACACGGCCCAGACUCCUACGGGAGGCAGCAGUGGGGAAUUUUGGACAAUGGGCGCAAGCCUGAUCCAGCAAUGCCGCGUGCAGGAAGAAGGCCUUCGGGUUGUAAACUGCUUUUGUACGGAGCGAAAAGGCUCUCUCUAAUACAGGGGGCUCAUGACGGUACCGUAAGAAUAAGCACCGGCUAACUACGUGCCAGCCGCCGCCGUAA